rnacentral:rRNA from 1 species
UACGGGGGGGGGCAAGCGUUGCUCGGAAUCACUGGGCGUAAAGCGCACGUAGGCGGAUUCUUAAGUCGGGGGUGAAAUCCUGGAGCUCAACUCCAGAACUGCCUUCGAUACUGGCGAGCUCGAGUUCGGGAGAGGUGAGUGGAACUGCGAGUGUAGAGGUGAAAUUCGUAGAUAUCGGAAGAACACCAGUGGCGAAGGCGACACACUGGCCCGUUACUGACGCUG